rnacentral:rRNA from 1 species
UACGUAGGGGGCAAGCGUUGUCCGGAUUUAUUGGGCGUAAAGAGCGUGUAGGCGGCCAUACAGGUCAGCUGUGAAAACUCGAGGCUCAACCUCGAGACGUCGGUUGAAACCGUAUGGCUAGAGUCCGGAAGAGGAGAGUGGAAUUCCCGGUGUAGCGGUGAAAUGCGCAGAUAUCGGGAAGAACACCCGUGGCGAAGGCGGCUCUCUGGGACGGUACUGACGCUGAGGAGCGAAAGCGUGGGGGAGCGAACAGG